GAUGAACGCUGGCGGCGUGCCUAAUACAUGCAAGUCGAGCGAACAGAUGAGGAGCUUGCUCCUCUGACGUUAGCGGCGGACGGGUGAGUAACACGUGGAUAACCUACCUAUAAGACUGGGAUAACUUCGGGAAACCGGAGCUAAUACCGGAUAAUAUAUUUAACCGCAUGGUUCAAUAGUGAAAGACGGUUUUGCUGUCACUUAUAGAUUGAUCCGCGCCGCAUUAGCUAGUUGGUAAGGUAACGGCUUACCAAGGCAACGAUGCGUAGCCGACCUGAGAGGGUGAUCGGCCACACUGGAACUGAGACACGGUCCAGACUCCUACGGGAGGCAGCAGUAGGGAAUCUUCCGCAAUGGGCGAAAGCCUGACGGAGCAACGCCGCGUGAGUGAUGAAGGUCUUCGGAUCGUAAAACUCUGUUAUUAGGGAAGAACAAAUGUGUAAGUAACUAUGCACGUCUUGACGGUACCUAAUCAGAAAGCCACGGCUAACUACGUG
rnacentral:rRNA from 1 species